GUGUAUAUCUAGGUCGCACACGUCAGAGAACCAGUGCGAGGUACGGUACCGGUGCGCUCACAGCCACCGGACGCCAUGGACAUCUCAGCCCUGAUUGUCGUGCUGCUCGCAAGGAACGGUCCUGUGCAGGCCGCAAGCUUAGCCCGCCAGUACGUCCAACACGUCAAAGAAGACGUCAAGGAAGGGGUGUACCACAUUCUCGACGCCCCCGUUGAUAGCAUACCAACGGCCCGGAUGUUCACAGAAGACGGAUUAGCGGGGAGAAAUCCGCUCGAAAAGUACCAGCACGACACCAUUGUGGAGACUCGUGCUGGGGUUCAGGAGGUCAUCAAUGCUCCCCUGCAUAGCAUGCCGUCUCUGAGGUUUCCUCCACACCGACAUGAAUAUCAUGAUCAAGU